rnacentral:rRNA from 1 species
AGUGAACGCUGGCGGUAGGCCUAGCACAUGCAAGUCGAACGGCAGCACAGUAAGAGCUUGCUCUUACGGGUGGCGAGUGGCGGACGGGUGAGGAAUACAUCGGAAUCUACUUUUUCGUGGGGGAUAACGUAGGGAAACUUACGCUAAUACCGCAUACGACCUACGGGUGAAAGCAGGGGAUCUUCGGACCUUGCGCGAUUGAAUGAGCCGAUGUCGGAUUAGCUAGUUGGCGGGGUAAAGGCCCACCAAGGCGACGAUCCGUAGCUGGUCUGAGAGGAUGAUCAGCCACACUGGAACUGAGACACGGUCCAGACUCUUACGGGAGGCAGCAGUGGGGAAUAUUGGACAAUGGGCGCAAGCCUGAUCCAGCCAUACCGCGUGGGUGAAGAAGGCCUUCGGGUUGUAAAGCCCUUUUGUUGGGAAAGAAAAGCAGCAGGUUAAUACCCCGCUGUUCUGACGGUACCCAAAGAAUAAGCACCGGCUAACUUCGUG